rnacentral:rRNA from 1 species
UACGAAGGGGGCUAGCGUUGCUCGGAAUUACUGGGCGUAAAGCGCACGUAGGCGGCUUCUUAAGUCGGUGGUGAAAUCCUGGAGGCUCAACUCCAGAACUGCCUUCGAUACUGGGAAGCUCGAGUCCGGGAGAGGUGAGCGGAACUGCGAGUGUAGAGGUGAAAUUCGUAGAUAUUCGCAAGAACACCAGUGGCGAAGGCGGCUCACUGGCCCGGUACUGACGCUGAGGUGCGAAAGCGUGGGGAGCAAACAGGG